AAUGAACGCUGGCGGCAGGCCUAACACAUGCAAGUCGAGCGAGCAUUUCGGUGCUAGCGGCGGACGGGGGAGUAACGCGUGGGAACGUGCCCUUUUCUGCGGAAUAGUCCUGGGAAACUGGGGGUAAUACCGCAUACGCCCUUAUGGGGAAAGAUUUAUCGGAGAAGGAUCGGCCCGCGUUGGAUUAGGUAGUUGGUGGGGUAAUGGCCCACCAAGCCGACGAUCCAUAGCUGGUUUGAGAGGAUGAUCAGCCACACUGGGACUGAGACACGGCCCAGACUCCUACGGGAGGCAGCAGUGGGGAAUCUUAGACAAUGGGGGCAACCCUGAUCUAGCCAUGCCGCGUGAGUGAUGAAGGCCUUAGGGUUGUAAAGCUCUUUCAGCUGGGAAGAUAAUGACGGUACCAGCAGAAGAAGCCCCGGCUAACUCCGUG
rnacentral:rRNA from 1 species